ACAGCGGUGAGGGACGUUCUGAUCGGGUCAGGUUAAGCCUCAGCACGUGGGGUUUAACCAUAAAGAGGUCAGGUUUCAGUGCGCGAGAUGCAGGUAAAUGUACAGAGGUCAGGUCUCAGUGCGCGAGAUGCAGGUAAAUGUACAGAGGUCAGGUCUCAGUGCGCGAGAUACAGGUAAAUGUACAGAGGUCAGGUCUCAGUGCGCGAGAUGCAGGUAAAUGUACAGAGGUCAGGUCUCAGUGCGCGAGAUGCAGGUAAAUGUACAGAGGUCAGGUCUCAGUGCGCGAGAUGCAGGUAAAUGUAGAGGUCAGAUCUCAGUGCACGAGAUACAGGUAAAUGUACAGAGGUCAGGUCUCGGUGCGCGAGAUGCAGGUAAAUGUACAGAGGUCAGAUCUCAGUACGCGAGAUACAGGUAAAUGUACAGAG